UCAUUGCAUUUUGGCCUCAACCCAUACAACCCAUAGCUACGUACAUCAUGACACUAGAACCCGCAAAUCCCAUUCUCCUGCCGACAUUAAAAAGUUUUAUUGACUUUGAAGAAAAUGUAAAUAAAAUUCUCAUGCCACAUCAAUAUUAGGGACAGUCUUAUCCUACUCACUAUAAUCAAGAUUACAAUUUCGAUCAUCUAAAUACUACCGUAUAACAUAAAUUAUUACAACUAAGGUUAAACAUCCCAGGUUAUUCCAGAUCACAGCUGUUGUCUUGAGUGAUAGUACACGUCGGAUUCCACCGUGGAAAUCAUCACUUGCCUCCGACCCGACCAAACGAAACUACAAUUAUAAAUUUUAAUAUUACUCAUUGCAUUUUGGCCUCAACCCAUACAACCCAUAGCUACGUACAUCAUGACACUAGAACCCGCAAAUCCCAUUCUCCUGCCGACAUUAAAAAGUUUUAUUGACUUUGAAGAGAACCGUAAAUAAAAUUCUCAUGCCACAUCAAUAUUAGGGACAGUCUUAUCCUACUCACUAUAAUCAAGAUUACAAUUUCGAUCAUCUAAAUACUACCGUAUAACAUAAAUUAUUACAACUAAGGUUAAACAUCCCAG
rnacentral:lncRNA from 1 species